rnacentral:rRNA from 1 species
UACGUAGGGUGCAAGCGUUGUCCGGAAUUAUUGGGCGUAAAGGGCUCGUAGGCGGUUUGUCGCGUCGGGAGUGAAAACUCAGGGCUUAACCCUGAGCCUGCUUCCGAUACGGGCAGACUAGAGGUAUGCAGGGGAGAAUGGAAUUCCUGGUGUAGCGGUGAAAUGCGCAGAUAUCAGGAGGAACACCAAUGGCGAAGGCAGCUCGCUAGGACGUGACUGACGCUGAGACGCGAAAGCGUGGGGAGCAAACAGG